GACGGUGAGGGAUGAAAGCUGGGGGAGCAAACCGGAUUAGAUACCCGGGUAGUCCCAGCUGUAAACGAUGCAAACUCGAUGAUGCGUUGGCUUAUUGCUAGCGCAGUGUCGCAGGGAAGCCGUUAAGUUUGCCGCCUGGGAAGUACGUACGCAAGUAUGAAACUUAAAGGAAUUGGCGGGGGAGCACCACAAGGGGUGAAGCCUGCGGUUCAAUUGGAGUCAACGCCUGAAACCUUACCCGGAGAGACAGCAGAAUGAAGGUCAAGCUGAAGACUUUACCAGACAAGCUGAGAGGUGGUGCAUGGCCGUCGCCAGCUCGUGCCGUGAGAUGUCCUGUUAAGUCAGGUAACGAGCGAGAUCCCUGCCUCUAGUUGCCACUAUUACACCCUGGUGUAGUAGGGCGAAUUAGGGGGACCGCCGCAGUUAAUGCGGAGGAAGGAAGGGGCCACGGCAGGUCAGUAUGCCCCGAAACUCUGGGGCCACACGCGGGCUGCAAUGGUAGCGACAAUGAGUUCCAAAAUCGAAAGAUGGAGGUAAUCCCUAAACGCUACCACAGUUGUGAUUGAGGGCUGCAACUCGCCCUCAUGAACAUGGAAUCCCUAGUAACCGCGUGUCAUUAUCGCGCAGUGAAUACGUCCCUGCUCCUUGCACUCACCGCCCGU
rnacentral:rRNA from 1 species